ACGGGUGAGUAACGCGUGAGAAUCUAGCUUUAGGUUCGGGACAACCAUUGGAAACGGUGGCUAAUACCGGAUGUGCCGAAAGGUAAAAGGCUUGCUGCCUAAAGAUGAGCUCGCGUCUGAUUAGCUAGUUGGUGGGGUAAGAGCCCACCAAGGCGACGAUCAGUAGCUGGUCUGAGAGGAUGAUCAGCCACACUGGGACUGAGACACGGCCCAGACUCCUACGGGAGGCAGCAGUGGGGAAUUUUCCGCAAUGGGCGAAAGCCUGACGGAGCAAUACCGCGUGAGGGAGGAAGGCUCUUGGGUUGUAAACCUCUUUUCUCAAGGAAUAAGUUCUGAAGGUACUUGAGGAAUAAGCAUCGGCUAACUCCGUGCCAACAGCCGCGGUAAUACGGAGGAUGCAAGCGUUAUCCGGAAUGAUUGGGCGUAAAGCGUCCGCAGGUGGUGAUGUAAGUCUGCUGUCAAAGAAUCAGGCUUAACCUGAUAGAGGCAGUGGAAACUACAUGACUAGAGUGCGUUCGGGGCAGAAGGAAUUCCUGGUGU
rnacentral:rRNA from 1 species